rnacentral:rRNA from 1 species
GACGAACGCUGGCGGCGUGCUUAACACAUGCAAGUCGAACGGAAAGGCCCUGCUUUUGUGGGGUGCUCGAGUGGCGAACGGGUGAGUAACACGUGAGUAACCUGCCCUUGACUUUGGGAUAACUUCAGGAAACUGGGGCUAAUACCGGAUAGGAGCUCCUGCUGCAUGGUGGGGGUUGGAAAGUUUCGGCGGUUGAGGAUGGACUCGCGGCUUAUCAGCUUGUUGGUGGGGUAGUGGCUUACCAAGGCUUUGACGGGUAGCCGGCCUGAGAGGGUGACCGGCCACAUUGGGACUGAGAUACGGCCCAGACUGCUACGGGAGGCAGCAGUGGGGAAUAUUGCACAAUGGGCGGAAGCCUGAUGCAGCAACGCCGCGUGCGGGAUGACGGCCUUCGGGUUGUAAACCGCUUUCGCCUGUGCCGAAGCGUGAGUGACGGUAAUGGGUAAAGAAGCACCGGCUAACUACGUG